UCUGCUUCUCUCCCUCUACUCAUCUCCCCGCCGCGUCGCCCCCGGCCUCCGCCCUCACCCCCACAGCCACCACAAAUCAACGACCUCGCCUCCCAUGCGCCCCUUCUCAUUCCCUCCCCCAGUUCAUCGGAGAGGAAAAUUGGCAGGUCGAGCGACCAGAUCCGCCCACAUCUGGCCCCGUUGCAAGUGGUGACGACCGCGGUGUUGGCGGGUGGCGCCAACACGCCGCUCUCGGCCAUGGAGCUGCUCCCGCCGGGCCACCCGAACCCGUCCGUCGCCUGCUCGCCUCCCGCAGCGUCUUCUCCGAACACACAACCGACGGCGGUACGUGCUUGUGCUGGCGUGGCCGCGGCUCCACGAGGCCGUGCUCGACCCCGCCGGUGUCGAGCCCUUCGCGCGCGCCCACGCCGGCCUCCCCGCCUACGCCUACUACGGCCAGGACCGGGAGGCGAACGAGGUGAUGCCCCGGGCCGUGACCGGCGUGUCGGAGCCAUUCAUGGAGGUGCUGCUGGACGGGUACUGCCCUGGUGGAGGGUUUGAGGGCGUGGCCAUGCUCGUCGACGUCGGUGGCAGCUCCGGCGCCUUCCUCGCGAUGAUCAUGAGCAGGGUGCCCACCAUCCGCCAGGGACUCAACUUCGACCUGCCAGACGUCGUCGCCACCGCGCCUCCCAUCUCUGUGAAGAAGGUGCAGGCAUGUAGCAACGGGAGCACGGGACGGCUUGAUCUAAAUGGCAAGCUGAAGUGCAGCAUUCGUGUACUGACAGUAAUACUCUAGGUACUAAAGUGCAGUGGUCAUGUGAUGUUAGUAAUCUUGUACAUACUAUACGGUGGGUACUUAACUGCAGCCGUCGUCACCGACAGUAAUCUAGUAAGUUGAAGCAGUGAUUGAAAGUUGAAGCAGACUAACUAACAAACAAAUCGGCAGAACAUAGCACCACAAUUGACCAUGACAAUGCCAUGAGACCAAUCGUUACCACCACCACACACAGAAAAUCUAAAGAAACAGAUGUUGUUUUUGGUAUCAACAUAUGCAGGAGACGAGUUUGAUAAUGAGGUUUCAGAGCAUACUUGGGGUAAACUAUGCAUAAUGCACUCUUGCUGAUACUGGCUUUAAGAGUUCACAUGCUAAUACUGAAGAUAGUGUGCCAUCCCUGUCCCUACCUAACAUGGUAAAAAUGAAAGGAUAGGCACAAUUUUUGCUAUAUUUUUUGUUAGUUGGUUUUGUAGCACACUUAUGGUAAAUGCAUAUGCAUUCCUUAGCAUCUUUGCUUCAGAAUGUUUAACCUGUUCAGAGUUCACGGUGUCAACAUCAACAGUAGAUGAGUUACAAAAAAAGAUGAGUUUGAUAAUGAGUUUUUUUAGGACCGAUAAUGUGGUUCACAUGCUAAUUUUGAAGAUAUUGUGUAUACUGCAGUUUUAUCAUAGCUUCUCACCUGUGUUUUGUUACUCAAGAAACCACAAUGAAGAAAUCUAAGUCGUACAUGGUAUUUCUCUGUAAAAUUGAACUGCUGCUGCAUGAGCCAGAAGCUAAUUAUGAGCUGAAAUCUACCAUUUGUGUUGAGGCUUGAGACACACUCAUAUUGUUAAUUGCUUGCCCUAAAAACUGUUUGUCUACUGAUUGCCCUCAAAACUUUUUGUCUACUGCUUGCCUACUUAAUUUUUUGUACAUAUGUACAUGUGUGUGGUGAACUGGUGGAUUCAUGCCAUGAUUUUGCAUUGUGCUUACAAGUCCUUAGAAUCAUCUAAUGCCAAAUAAUCUGCUGGGCAGACACAAUUGAUUUAUGUGAAAUAGUAGAUGAGUAUAAAAUUAAUUUAGCUAGAGUGUUGGCAUGAUCUCAUUGUGUUCCAUGAAUUUUGUUGUUCCAUAUCUAAUAAUUAUUACACAUUUAUAGAUAAGAAAAAUAUACACAGAUGUUCAUACCUAGAUCCACUUGCUUUAGUUCUUGACUAUCCUUGAUGCUCAUUCACUUGUUGAUGUUCCUUGGUUAUCUGUGAUGGACGAGGGGGGAGAAGGGAUGGCAGAGGAGGUUCACAAUAUAUAGGACGACAAAUUACAUGGGCAUAUUUCCUUCACUCCCCUCCCCUUCCGGCCGCCGCCACGCGCUCCUCCACGCCAGACCGCCGCCCCAUGUUCCUCCGCACCAGGCCGCCGCCGUCGUAGUUCUCCAGGAUCCAAGACAAAGCUCGUGAUGAAGGGCUUGGAGCUGGCCGGGCGAAGGUGCUGGAGGUCGGCUCCUUCUCCACAGCCGCGCCCCGGGACGGGAGCCUCCGCAUGCUCCUGCUCUGGCGACGACGCAGCCGUUCUUCCACUGGACCACUCUAUCCCCCGCUACAUGUGUGCCGCCUCGGAUCUCCAUCUCGAUCUGUGAUGUGCGUGCCGGUGCUGUGAAGUAGGAUCCGGUGCUUCCCAAAUCGGGAUUCUAUUUACUUAUUUUUGUGAGGAGGAAUUAUCUCCAAGGUUGCCAAACCUGCUGAGGAAACUUCAGAAGUUAGGCUGUUCUUUGUAAAUGACUUCUCAAGACUGGUUUGACUUCUGUUCCGGUGGUCACAAAAUACUCAUGGGAUUUCAUUUGAAUGGAGUUUCUAAUCUAAAGCAAGGGUGAGCAAAAAGGAAGGAGGCGCCGACACGGGCAACAGUGGCGGGGCUGGCCGCUGGCGGACGCAAUAAUUAAUCAUUGUUCCUCAGAGCCACCAUCACUAUGUUGCUGCACAAUCUCAACCAGGAGAAGUCUUCUUAUGUGGCGCAUAUUAACACUUACCAAGGUUGAUCAAUGUAGCUGUAUGUGGAACCAUUGGUGAGAGAGCAAUAAAUAAGAAAAGAGUUUGUAACCCAUGGGAGAGGAAUCAAAAUCACAUGAUGUGUCUCAACUCUGCAAAGGCCACUGGAUGUAUUGUUGUCAACAUUGGCACGCAGGAUUUAGUGGAAGGAAGGUUUUCGGCCAUCAGAUUUCCCUGAGAAUCAAGGGAAAGGAAGAGGAAAGGAAAAUGUUGAUAGAUGCUCCGUUAUAAGUGUUUACGUCGUGCAGAAUACAUUUCUUCAGAGAAACCGUUGGUGUGUGCAGAAUAUAUUUCUUCAGAAAAUGUGUUAUUGUGCAGAAACUACAAUGAAGUUGUCGGGGAGAAGAUCCAGUCAACUCAGCUACAUCGGGUUGGGUCAAAGUGACUCAUGUAGUAAUUCGCAACAGCAGUGACAUGGUUCAGUUCAGCAUGGGGAGCAACUACGUCUACAAUGUCCACUCCUAUUGGUCUCUGACCUGUCAAACAAGAAGACAUGGUGCAGCUAACUGCUGAAAAGCGUAUGACUGUGGUCCUCUUGACAACGAAGACGAAGACGCUGCAGACCAAGCCUUUGCGUUCUCCAGUUUCAUGCAGGAGUUCCGCAAGAUGGCCAAUGUUGUUAAGAACCAGGUCACUGGCAACUACUACAUGGCUGACUUGACCAAACCCGCUCUUGCAAGACUUCAAUUUACCGCAACCUGGUAAAUUUACCGCAACCUGGUAAAUGAUGAGUAUAAUGAAUGAUGCGCUCAGCAGGCUGGUUGUGCGAGUAGGUUCAACAUUUGUACCCCAUGACUAUGUCUCGAGAAUUGAUUGGGACAUUCCCCUUUUCUUUACCGAAAAA